rnacentral:tRNA from 1 species
GCCCGGAUGCUGGAACGGUAGACAGGCUAGCUUCAGGAGCUAGUGUUCGCAAGAGCGUGGGAGUUCAAAUCUCCCUCCGGGCA